GCCUAAUCAUGCAAGUCGAGCGGACAGAUGGGAGCUUGCUCCCUGAUGUUAGCGGCGGACGGGUGAGUAACACGUGGGUAACCUGCCUGUAAGACUGGGAUAACUCCGGGAAACCGGGGCUAAUACCGGAUGCUUGUUUGAACCGCAUGGUUCAAACAUAAAAGGUGGCUUCGGCUACCACUUACAGAUGGACCCGCGGCGCAUUAGCUAGUUGGUGAGGUAAUGGCUCACCAAGGCAACG
rnacentral:rRNA from 1 species